GACGUAGGGCGCGAGCGUUGUCCGGAUUUAUUGGGCGUAAAGAGCUCGUAGGCGGCUUGUCGCGUCGUUCGUGAAAACCUGCAGCUCAACUGCAGGCUUGCGGUCGAGUACGGGCAGGCUAGGAGUUCGGUAGGGGAGACUGGAAUUCCUGGUGUAGCGGUGAAAUGCGCAGACUAGUCAGGAGGAACACCGGUGGCCGAAG
rnacentral:rRNA from 1 species